CCAUACGAAGACGAUCCACGCUUCAACCGCGAUAUAUCGUACUGCCGUCGAGAAAGGCGUCCUCCCCCAGAGGAGUUCUAUCGAGGGGAAGGGUACGAGGCUGACCCAUAUGGCGGAGGACGACCCCUUCCUCCGGAAUUCCGCGGACGUGGGCGCGGUCGUGGUUUUGAGGAUUUUCCUAUGCGGGAGCCUGGACCCAGCCAUGGACCCACGGCAGACAGAAGUCAGCUGGCAGACCUUAUAGGCAGGGCUAAAGACCUGGUCAGUAGUGAGGACGAUGCUGCUAUGGCCCUUCAACUGUCCAACGCCUUGACCAAGGCCCUGCUCUCCUACAGACUGAAGAAUGUCCCACCAGAGCUUCUGAAACAUGCCAUGGGGGAACUGGGACCCAACUUCUAGAGGAUGAAGAACCACAUCUUCUUUCAAAACUACUUUAAUAACCUAGUUCCUGUUUCUGUUUCACAUUCUGAUGGAUUGUCAGAAAUACACACAAAUGUACAACCAUAUACACUUGUUGCUUUUGUUUACAAACUUGGAUGCCUACAUGGAUAUUAUAGGUUAAAUGGGAAAACAUGUUUAACCUUCAAACUGCCAAGGUAGCCACUUGGCACCAAAUAUGUAUUGGUGACUGCUUAGGCAGAGGAAGAGAGUUAAAUGUUGAGGUUUUCCUUAACGUUCAGUUAAUGAAGCUGGUUUUACAUUGUGUUACCGUGACCAAAGUGACUCCGAAGAAGGAUUUGAAAUAUGAUUUCCAAGACAAUAGAAAUAUUGGAAAAUAAUAGGUGAACACAGAAUGCUACAGAAUUAAUUGUACCAACACGGAUGAAGUUUCCAGCUAUUACCCAAGUGAUUAUAAACAUUUCUUCACAGUUUUGAUUUUUAUGCACUUAUGGAGUGUACACAGGUGCUCCAAUAGUUUGUUCAAUGAUGGGGUAUAGUAGAUACAUGUUGUAUAUCUCAACCCCUACUAAGUACAGUGUACCUUGUGGCAUGGUCUUGCUAAUAAACAAAAGGGUAGGGAACAAGAGGAAUCCUACAUGGAAAAGACCAUAAUGUCUAUUUAUGCAUUGUUUGUUGCAACUUGUUUGUAAACAAUACAUAUUGUUUCCUGAAAACAUAUCACACCUAAAGAUUGGCACAGCAAUGUUUUUACCCAACACCAUAGUACACAAUAACUUUUAUUAUAUUUUACUGUGUAUCAAGAAUUGAUAUAUAUAUGGACCAUAACAAAUAUGUUAUGUGAACAUUCUACAAUAAAAGUCAUCUAAAAUGAAA